rnacentral:misc_RNA from 1 species
GUUGCCCAAGGAGCUUAUGACACUCGCAAUAUCUUCCAGUCACUUGAUUUAGCCUGGACCUUGCUCCGCAUCUUCCCUCGUGAGCUACUACACCGUAUACCAGCAAAGACCCUUGACCAGUACUACAGCCGAGAUUCAUCUAACUAAGGAAUGAACUUCUACGGCUCUGAUUAAAUUGUUUUGGUUGAUCUAUCCUAGAUUUCAUCUCUCAAUCAUGCAGAAUAAUAAAAGCUGUUUUCCAUUUGGGAUAAAGUU